UGGGGAAUAUUGGACAAUGGGCGCAAGCCUGAUCCAGCCAUGCCGCGUGUGUGAAGAAGGCCUUCGGGUUGUAAAGCACUUUUGUCCGGAAAGAAAUCCUUCGAAUUAAUACUUCGGAGGGAUGACGGUACCGGAAGAAUAAGCACCGGCUAACUUCGUGCCAGCAGCCGCGGUAAUACGAAGGGUGCAAGCGUUACUCGGAAUUACUGGGCGUAAAGCGUGCGUAGGUGGUUCGUUAAGUCUGAUGUGAAAGCCCUGGGCUCAACCUGGGAAUGGCAUUGGAUACUGGCGACCUAGAGUGCGGUAGAGGGGUGUGGAAUUCCCGGUGUAGCAGUGAAAUGCGUAGAUAUCGGGAGGAACAUCUGUGGCGAAGGCGACACCCUGGACCAGCACUGACACUGAGGCACGAAAGCGUGGGGAGCAAACAGGAUUAGAUACCCUGGUAGUCCACGCCCUAAACGAUGCGAACUGGAUGUUGGGUGCAACUUGGCACUCAGUAUCGAAGCUAACGCGUUAAGUUCGCCGCCUGGGAAGUACGGUCGCAAGACUGA
rnacentral:rRNA from 1 species